rnacentral:lncRNA from 1 species
GGGGAUUGAACCCAUGGGCACUUAACCACUGAGCCACAUCCCAUUCAUUUUUAUAUUUUAUUUAGAGACAGGGUCUCACUGAGUUGCUUAGGGCCUCACUAAUUUGCUGAGGCUGGCUUUGAACUUGCAAUCCUCCUGCCUCAGCCUCUUGAGCCACUGGGAUUACAGGCAUCAGCCACCACGCCUAGCUGAAAUGUGUUAUUUUUGACAUGUCAAAAGUCCCUCCUUGUAAUCCAGUUACCCUUUCUUGCCAUUUAUUCAGAUGGGUGCAAGAGUUAGAAUCAUAGGGAGUCUAUAAAGGAGGGGCAAGUUUUGUCAGGGAAUGCUUGUGGCUUUAAGGAAGACAGUCGUGUGACAAACAGCAAUGAGGCCAUUGCAUUCAGCAAUGAAUGUGAAUGGCGUGGGACCCAGGCAUGGAACACUGGGAUCACCAACCAGAGACUCAAAAGGAGACACAUGACCAAUGACACGAGAAUAACUUAAUCCAGCUUGCAUACUACAUAAAUGAUUUGUGGUUCAAACUGAGAAGACACCAAGUUGCCCUCUUGAAGGUUGUGAUGAGGAACCCAAGACAAAGUGUGACCAAACAUCUUUGCACAAUUUGGCUACUGUCUAUGAACCCACAUCCAUCAGUUUGGGGUGCUGACUUGGAUUAAGGAUUUAUUAGGCCUUUGUCUCCAUAUAUGUGCUU